GACGAACGCUGGCGGCGUGCUUAACACAUGCAAGUCGAACGGAAAGGCCCUGCUUGCAGGGUGCUCGAGUGGCGAACGGGUGAGUAACACGUGGGUGAUCUGCCCCUUACUUUGGGAUAAGCCUGGGAAACUGGGUCUAAUACUGGAUAGGACCAUGCUGUAGGUGGUGUGGUGGAAAGAUUAGUUUCGGUAAGGGAUGAGCUCGCGGCCUAUCAGCUUGUUGGUGGGGUAAUGGCCUACCAAGGCGUCGACGGGUAGCCGGCCUGAGAGGGUGGACGGCCACAUUGGGACUGAGGUGCGGCCCAGACUACUACGGGGGGCAGCAGUGGGGAAUAUUGCACAAUGGGCGCAAGCCGGAUGCAGCGACGCCGCGUGGGGGAUGACGGCCUUCGGGUUGUAAACUCCUUUCAGCCAUGACGAAGCCCUUGUGGUGACGGUAGUGGUAGAAGAAGCACCGGCUAACUACGUG
rnacentral:rRNA from 1 species